UACGUAGGGGGCAAGCGUUGUCCGGAAUCAUUGGGCGUAAAGAGCGUGUAGGCGGCCCGGUAAGUCCGCUGUAAAAGUCAAAGGCUCAACCUUUGAAUGUCAGUGGAUACUGCCGGGCUAGAGUCCGGAAGAGGCGAGUGGAACUCCUGGUGUAGCGGUGGAAUGCGCAGAUAUCAGGAAGAACACCAACGGCGAAGGCGGCUCUCUGGGACGGUACUGACGCUGAGACGCGAAAGCGUGGGGAGCGAACAGG
rnacentral:rRNA from 1 species